GAAACUGCCCACGUCAUGAAGGGCCUACUUAUUUCAUCACAGGCCCGAGCCAGGCCAACACUGGCACUGUAGCUGCCUGCUGGAGUGAUUCUUCAAUCCACAUGAAAGCCUGAAAGCCUCUCCUUAGAGACAUUAAUUAGCCCCCGAUUAAUGCUGGGCAGAAGCUUACCCUGAUAGAGAGCAGGAUUAGCUCCAGCUCUGGAGGCUGCCACCCAUCUAUCUGUAAAUUGCCCAGCAAACCAUGAAGAGGCUUCGGUCCUUUCUUAUCAAAGCAAUGAAACAGCUCAGUGUGGAAAUUACAGGGUCUUUGGAGGUUUGCUGAUUUCCUUGGCCUUUCAUUGAGGACUGUCCCCAAUCUGGCAUCCCCAGCUGUGUCUCUGGCUCUCUCCCAUUCCUCACCAGGGCCUAAUCGCAAUGCCCAGAAAACUCUCUCAAGAGCAUCUUUGGAAUGCUCAGGAGGGUGCCUCCAUCAAUGGAGAUGCCAAGGUUUCCCUAAGACGUCUUCUCAGCAGGCUGUGCAGGAGUUUCUGAGGUGUGUGAUGCUAUCAUGGUGACCCCUCAUCCCUCUGUCCCCAAGAAGAGGACCUUGUUGUUCAGGCAGCAGGGAUUUGAGUGGGGUUUGGGGGUAGAGCAAAGAGAGGCAGGAGAGGAAAGCAGGAUGUGUGUGGUUCAGUGAGUGUGGGUGUCAUGCCACAAGCAGCGCCCAGGCACCCACACUUACUGCCCGAGUACUUCGAGGAUGAAAUGUUGUGUAUGGCAUGUGCCUGGUCCUAAGGCUAACAGCAGAGGAUGGCGGCCAGCCCCUCACACUGCAAGCAGAGAACCACAGCUGAGCCGCAAGCUGUCUCCACCCCAGGAGGAAAGCUGGACAUUGGCCAGAUCACUUAGCCCUCCUUUUCUUUAUUUCAGCCCCAGGCACGCGCUUUCAGGAGGCCAGUAUCCCAGGGUCUGUCCAGGGAAGAGAAGCAGGGGCAAAGGGCCCUCUACAUUGCGGGCAGAUGCUGUUAUUUAGGUCAAGAAACUUGAUCAGAUCCAGGCAGUCGUAUCAAGGAUGGAGAAGCACUGGAAACUGACAUCCUGGAGGGAAGGGGUAUUUUAUCAAUGACAUUGUCUAGAACUGCUGGUGCACAGCGAUGAUAAAAAGCAGACUGACGUUGAAUUGGUUUCGUUAUUGCUGUAGAAUUCUCUGCAAAAUACCCUGCUAUUGCCUAUACACAACUGGAUCAGUAUCUCCCCUAACCCCUUCUUGGUAGGCUGCUGGAUUCAGACUCCAUGUUUAGGCAAGACUGCCGUGUAGGUGGUGCUGUGUACCUCUUACUGCAUUACAGCAUGAGACACAGGAUGUCUGCUUUGUCUCUCUUUUUGUGAUCAGGUGGGUUCAGGUCCUGCCAACCUGAUGGUUUUAGCAGCUCAGAUUCAUUAUUUUCUUAGGGAUUGCAAGGUAGUGAUAUUUCAAUUCUUAAGACAAGGUUUUACUCUGUUGCACAGGCUGGUGUGCAGUGGUGCAAACACGGCUCACUGCAGCCUCAAACUCCUGAGCUCAAGGGAUCCUCUUGCCUCAGCCUCUCAGGUAGCUGGGAUCAUAGGUGCAUGUCACUACUCCUGGCUCAUUUUUUGAUUUUUUUGUAAAGAUGAGGUCUUGCUAUGUUGUCCAGACUGGUCUCAAAUUCCUGGCCUCAAGCAAUCCUCCUGCCUCAGCCUCCCAAAAUGCUAGGAUUACAGGCAUGAGCCACCAGUCUUCUGACUUAUUACCUGACCAUUAUUUUCUAUAAAGAAUAAGUUUCUCUGCCGGGUGAGGUGGCUCACGCCUGUAAUCCCAGGACUUUGGGCAGCUGAGGUGGGCAUAUCACAAGGUCAGGAGAUCGAGACCAUCCUGGCUAACGCAGUGAAACCCCGUCUCUACUAAAAAUACAAAAAAUUAGCCGGGCGUGGUGGCGGGCGCCUGAAGUCCCAGCUACUCAAGAGGCUGAGGCAGGAGAAUGGCGUGAACCCGAGAGGCUGAGGUUGCCGUGAGCUGAGAUCGCGCCACUGCACUCCAGCCUGGGCGACAGAGCAAGACUCCAUCUCAAAAAACAAACAAACAAACAAACAAACAAAAAAAACUUUCUCUCCUUGCAGGCAUUAGCUUGCUUGCUUUCUCUCUUUUCCUUCUUUCUCUUUGUUUGUUUGUUUCUUUCUUUCUUUUUCUUUUUCUUCCUUCCUUCCUUCCUUCCUUCCUUCUUUCCUUCCUUUCUCUUUCUCUCUUUCUCUCUUUCUUGUCUCUCCUUUUCCUUUCCUUUCCUUUCCUUUCCUCUUUAUUUCUUUUCAGAUGGGGGUCUCACUAUGUUGACCAGGUUGGUCUUGAACUCCUGGUCUUAAGCAAUCCUCUCACCUGGCCUCCCAAAAUGCUGGGAUUACAGGCGUGAGCCGCCAGACAAUAGCUUCCAGAGAAGGAGUUGGUACCCUAGCAGCCUAAAAUAUUGACCUAUGUAUCGUAUUGCUUUUAAUAUCAUUGGGCACACAGAUUUUUAUGUUUGAUUAUGCUAUAUGUACUCUCACAUUUUUUAAAGUGAAAAAAAUUAUAGGUUUGUACCAAUGCUUCCAAUUCAAAUUUAAGAUUACAGGGUUUUCACUUAACUUGGUUGGGUAUACACUUUCAUUUUUUUUUUUUUUUUUGCUGAAAAGCGUGGUUUUUAACAAUUGUUACAUAAUUACUUAUUUACCUUAUUCUAUAACUAUAAUAGUUUCAAAAUAGCUAAACGAAUAUUGCUGCUAACAGUAAGAUUACUGAAUACAGUGUAAGAUUUAUUUGCGACUCAUUUUGUCCUUAGAACAUAUCCUGCUAGGAUUGUGUAAUCGAAAUGUGAAGUGAUUAUUUUCUUCGUGUUGUUGUGCCAUUGACUUGAUGUGCAGUUAGGUACAUUUCUUUCCUCUUACUUUCAAUUUUUAAGACUUCUUUUCUGCCUUUUUGAUUUUUUAAAAAUUUGUAUUCAAAGUCAAAACUAUCUAACAAGAUAUAUUCAGAGAAGUCUAGCUCCUAUUCAUAUCUUCUCC
ensembl:lncRNA